CAAUGAACAAAGAUGACGUCACAUUAAGUACUACUAGGUAUCCAAAGUAUUUCAACUGAAACGAACAGUCAGAGGAAUAUUGUAACCACAAACCAGACUGGACUAGUCAGCUGACACUCAAACACCUAAUGUCUUUUAUUACUACUGCAUGUAGUUUGGAGUGGUAGAUCAUUUAUUUAUUGAUAUACUGAAUAUAAAGAUGAAUGUAUUUAAAAGUUGCUUUUCUCGAGAUAAAAAAGUUGUGGAGUUUACAGCACGAUCAUCUAUGAUAAUUUCACCUGUAUCUGGGCGAGUAACAGAGAUAGAUGAUCCAAAUAAGGAUGUAUGGAGAGAUCAAUACUCAUCAGGUGAUCAGAAAGAUAAAAGUCGUAUACCAUUCUGGAACAGUGGUUUCUCUGCCUGUCCUAAAUGUGGUGAAAGAAAUAUGGAUAGGUUUGAAGAACGAGCUGGUAUAAGACAUAAUGGUGAGACAUAUGGUACAGAAGUUUUUAUGUGUAAAACUAAAGAUUGCAAAUGGUCAACAAGUUUUCAAUUUGAUGAUGCUAGAAUGUCCAAAAACUGAUGAGAAAAUGGUUUAUGAAAGCAUAACAAUGAAGCGGCAAAAUAUAGAUAUUCAAGUAACAAUUAUACAAAAAAGUGAACUUAACAAAAUACAAUAUGUUGAUCAUGUUAGACUUUCGUAAAGUAAAUAAUGAGUGAAUCAUAUACUAUAACUGAAAAAAAUGUAAGUUCUUCAUCCUCUUAUUUUGAAUUUCUCAGAUUUGAUAAUUUUAUGUGUUUCCAGAAAUUCCUAAAUAGCAAAAGGCACAACUACUGUAAUAGGUUGAUGUGUGUACAAAGUUUCAGAAAGAUAUCUUGAAUGGUUUAUGAGAUAUGCUCCGGAAACAAAAUUGUACACCAAAAUCUAAGUCAAAUUUGUUUCCAUGGAAACACAAAAAAUAUAAAUCUCAGAAAUUUCUAAAUAGCAAAAGGCACGACUACUGUAAUGGGUAGAUGUCUGUACAAAGUUUCAAAACGAUAUCUUAAACGGUUUAUGAGAUAUGCUCCGGAAACAAAAUUGUACACCAAAAACUAAGUCAUUUUUGUUUCCAUGGAAACAGAAAAAAUAUAAAUCUCAGAAAUUCCUAAAUAGCAAAAGGCACAACUACUGUAAUGGGUAGAUGUCUGUACAAAGUUUCAAAAAGAUAUCUUGAACGGUUUAUGAGAUAUGCUCCGGAAACAAAAUUAUACACCAAAAACUAAGUCAAAUUUGUUUCCAUGGAAACACAAACAAAUAUAAAUUCCAGAAAUUCCUAAAUAGCAAAAGGCACAACUACUGUAAUAGGUUGAUAUGUGUGCAAAGUUUCAGAAAGAUAUCUUGAACGGUUUAUGAGAAAUGCUCCGGAAACGAAAUCAGACCGGACGGAUGAACCCCGUUUCAAUAUCCCUCCCUAACUUCGUUCGGUGCAGGAUAACAAGUUAUCGUUGCAUAUUAACAGUUAUAAAACAACAUCAUCUUAAUGCUAGGUUCCCACUAUCACGAUUCAAGCUACAAUUGAAAUCGUGGAGUAAUUGUGAUGAUCCUAUCAGGUCUUAUCAUAUAUUGUGGUCAGUUGUAGCAGUCAGUCGUGUUGAUCGCAUCGAAACAAAUUCCGAACAUAUCAGAUCUAAACUCAAUGGGGACAAGCCUAUCGUAACUCAUCGCUUGACAGCUGGGAACAUAGCAUAACUAGCCACUGUAUGAAGAAAAAAAAAAUGUGCUGAGCUUUACAAAUAAAAUCGAUACAAAAAGACAUGAGAAGGAAAUAAUGCUGAAUCACUUGGUGAAGAUAAGGAUAAUAAAUGUUCUAUAAUUUCUGUGAAUAAUGGUAGAUUUUUUAAGUUAUAAUCAUUAGAAAAUAACUUUUGUAAAGGUUUAGAUUUUUUAGAAAUCAGCGGGUUAGAGAACUAAAAGAAAAUAUAUUAUGAUCAAAUAAAAUGUAAAGAUUUUUUUUAUACUUACUGUAAAUGUAAAGAUAUUGUUAUACCAACUGUUAAUGUAAAGGUUAUUAUUAUACUUACCGGUAUAAUAAAUGUAAAGGUUAUUAUUAUACUUACCGUUACUGUAAAUGUAAAGGUUAUUAUUAUACUUACUGGUACUGUAAAUGUAAUGGUUAUUAUUAUACUUAUUGUAUUACUGUAAAUGUAAA